AAUGAAGUUCCUUUCUUUGAAAUUGAUAGAAUAUUUGGUUGAUGCCAUCAAUGCAAUGCUACGAUGGUGGGAGUCCCAUGAAUUCCAGAUUCACAUUAGUUUUAAUACCACGAGAAAGUCAGAAACCAAGGAGGAACGGGGACCGAAUUUUCAUGGCAGUGGAAAUGUCACAAAGUGCUCAUUGAAAAAGUGUUCAUGCAAAUCCUCUUGUAUAUUGUGUAGUUCUAAAUGUCAUAAUAAUCAAUCCUGUUGUAACAAGUAAUUUAGAGAGAAUGCAUGAGUAAUUUAUAACAAAAUUGGAAAUGUCACAAAGUGCUCA
rnacentral:lncRNA from 1 species